CAACCUGCCCACCACUUGGGGAUAACCUUGCGAAAGUAAGACUAAUACCCAAUGAUGUCUCUAGAAGACAUCUGAAAGAGAUUAAAGAUUUAUCGGUGAUGGAUGGGGAUGCGUCUGAUUAGCUUGUUGGCGGGGUAACGGCCCACCAAGGCGACGAUCAGUAGGGGUUCUGAGAGGAAGGUCCCCCACAUUGGAACUGAGACACGGUCCAAACUCCUACGGGAGGCAGCAGUGAGGAAUAUUGGUCAAUGGGCGAGAGCCUGAACCAGCCAAGUAGCGUGCAGGAUGACGGCCCUAUGGGUUGUAAACUGCUUUUAUAAGGGAAUAAAGUGAGCCUCGUGAGGCUUUUUGCAUGUACCUUAUGAAUAAGGACCGGCUAAUUCCGUGCCAGCAGCCGCGGUAAUACGGAAGGUCCGGGCGUUAUCCGGAUUUAUUGGGUUUAAAGGGAGCGUAGGCCGGAGAUUAAGCGUGUUGUGAAAUGUAGACGCUCAACGUCUGCACUGCAGCGCGAACUGGUUUCCUUGAGUACGCACAAAGUGGGCGGAAUCCGUGGUGUAGCGGUGAAAUGCUUAGAUAUCACGAAGAACUCCGAUUG
rnacentral:rRNA from 1 species